UACUAGAGAGCUUAUCAAAGCACUUGACUUUUAAUCAAGAGAUAAUAUAUUUAUAUUUCUAGUUA
rnacentral:tRNA from 1 species